UCAAAAUUUAUCGUAUUUAUCGCGAGUUAAGGGUUUAUAAGUAUGCUCCACGCUUUAUACGGUCUAAACAAAUUUUUUAAUUUUUUUUCUUUGAACUUAAAGCGAAUUAAACUCAUGCGCCGCAUUGUAAACUAAAUUAACUGCCUGUCCCACUAAUUUUGUGUCACUGAAAAUGAGCGGUUUCCGUUCGUUUGAGUGACUCGAGUCACUCAUUUGAGUGUCACAAAGUUAGUGGGACAAGCAGUUAAUUUAGUUUACAAUGCGGCGCAUGAGCCACGAAUUCAAAGAAUUUCCUAGGAUAAGAGUGAACUAUUUGAUUUUAUUGUAAAAUCUUGGAUUUAACAACAUUUUUGUCUAUUAGAAAACUAGGCUAAGAUUUUUUUUGCUAUUGGUAACACUGAUCCCACACCUCCAAAGGGGACAAACAAACACAAGAGAACGGGUAUGGUUUUCAUGCUUUCGUCUCUUAUGUCAGUCAUGCAUUUCUCUCUUCUCGCUUUUAUUUCAAUCUGCUUUCGAUUGAGAGGAGCAAUACAAGCCACUACGACAACAACAACAGAAAUGUGUAAACAAAUCGAUUACGGCUAGUUCGUUGGAUGGUUGAUUUGAGUGUUUUCACGUUCAAUUGGAGAAAACCUAGCAGAGACCAUUUAAGACACAUGGAAAUGCGGCAUUUUUAAUUGUCCGAGCAGGGGCAGCGAGAGAGUGAGAGAUAUUGAAAUUGCAACCAAAAUGACCACAGCCAACCUAGGAGUGUAUGCAAAUUGUAGUGCCAUCCUACUGAAUUGUUUCCAUCCCAUCUUUAAAAUAUUUAAUCAGAUUGCACAGUGGUUAGAGUUUAAUCGAGCCAUUGGAGGUAGAUGUUUUCUUUAAUGGCCUUGACCUCGAAAAAUGAAAAUAUUUCGUUUAUUGUUGUAUUUACCUCAUAACAUAAAAUAUCGAUUGUGGAGAAGAAAGCAAAUGAUUCUCAUAAAUGCCUUGAGGAGAAACAAGGUCAACGUUAUUCAGCCAUGAAACGAUGCAUCAUAAACAGUGGUUUCAUAUCACUCAUUUGAAAUUAUUUUUCUGCAGUUGUCAAGUCAAAUGGAAUCAGCACUAUCGUUGCAGAAGUUGGUAGAAAAUGGGCUAAGAAAUAAACGUAUGGGGGAUUUCUUUAUGUGGCGUAACUUUAUUUUUGAUUUAAUUUAAAUGUCAGAAAAAUUUAAUUAAAAAUUUAUUUAAAUGUCAAAAAAUUAAUUAAAACAAGACAAGAUAAAUCGAGCUAAGUGCGGCCAGGCCGAAUCUUAGGAACCCACCACCAUGGAUUCUACUGCAACUUAUGGCCUGUUUGUCGACGACGAAAGCAAGCGUUUGUUUGGCCUGCAAACGAAAAAAACUGAUUUGGGCUUCUGUAUCUCAUUUUAAACGAAGAAUUUAUCAAAUGACAAGCCGAACACCUUGUCAUAUCGAGCAUCAUUGGCACUCAGUAUUUAUGCGAGAUCCGGAGUAGUCCGGCUUCUCACUGAGACUCUUCACUCCAUACCGCUGAUUGUCCGCGACUGUAGUUGCAACUACUCCAUAUGCAGCACCUGACUAUCCUCAGCCUGUCGAAGCGCCCGGUAACUCGCAGCUUAGCUUCUCGUGACAACGGUAAACAUUAUACAGUUUAGAGUUCAAAGUUCCAGCCUGUGUGGUGCUAAUAGUUAUCCCGUGCCGGGGUGCCCUGAGGUAGUUGUAGAAUGUUGGGCUCCUCCUCACCCGCAAAAAAAAGUAAACGCCAACGAAUGAUUCCAUUUGCCUUUUAUUAAACACAUCGCAAGUUUUAUGUUAAUAAUGUUUUGAAUUUAUGUACGUGAUUGAAAUAAAGAAAAUAACACCAUAA
rnacentral:sRNA from 1 species